GGCUCAGGAUGAACGCUGGCGGCGUGCUUAACACAUGCAAGUCGAACGAAGCACCUCUAAUCGAAGAUUGAGAAAGCUUGCUUUGAUUGAUUCACCUUGAGGUGACUGAGUGGCGGACGGGUGAGUAACGCGUGGGUAACCUACCCUAUACAGGGGGAUAACAGUUGGAAACGACUGCUAAUACCGCAUAAGCGCACAGGACCGCAUGGUCUAGUGUGAAAAAACUCCGGUGGUAUAGGAUGGACCCGCGUCUGAUUAGCUAGUUGGUGAGGUAACGGCUCACCAAGGCGACGAUCAGUAGCCGACCUGAGAGGGUGACCGGCCACAUUGGGACUGAGACACGGCCCAAACUCCUACGGGAGGCAGCAGUGGGGAAUAUUGCACAAUGGGCGAAAGCCUGAUGCAGCGACGCCGCGUGAACGAAGAAGUAUUUCGGUAUGUAAAGUUCUAUCAGCAGGGAAGAAAAAUGACGGUACCUGACUAAGAAGCUCCGGCUAAAUACGUGCCAGCCGCCGC
rnacentral:rRNA from 1 species